AUGUUCUCUUUCUGGAGAUUUCUUUUUGGUGAAGUUUUCUCCUGUGAGCUUUCUUAUGUGGAUUGAAUUGUUCCAGCCUUUCUUCAUAUGUGAGAUGUUCCAAUUCCUAUUCUAGAAUGGAGAUUAAAAGAAGUUUGAUGACAUGAUCAAUAGGUAACUGUUUCAUCAUUAUACUUACUGUUUAAAAUACAUCUAAACAUGCUGCCUUGUGGGACAGUUCUGUGUUUGACAGGAGUCUGCCUUUAGAGGAUAUUAACCUUAAUGCAAAUCUGAUUAAAAGAGGUGAUGACGAAACCUGUAGGAAUCUGUCUUGGAGAAGUCACAAUGCCAUCUCCUUCGGUGAAAGGUUCACACCCGCAUUCGAACAAUUUAUCUUUGACCUAUGAGAUCUGCAAUCAAUCAGAAUCCUGAGCACUGGUGACUAAUAAUUCUUGGGAAUUUCUGUGGGUGGGGAGACUUUUCUCACCCUGAAGUAAUGUGCUGGCAUUAGUUAGUCUUGUCUUUGUUGCAUCAUCUGACAUAUAAUGAGAUAAUAAAAAUGAGCAAGUACCCUCAA